rnacentral:rRNA from 1 species
ACGGAAGGCAGCAGUGGGGAAUAUUGCACAAUGGGGGAAACCCUGAUGCAGCGACGCCGCGUGAAGGAAGAAGUAUCUCGGUAUGUAAACUUCUAUCAGCAGGGAAGAAAAUGACGGUACCUGACUAAGAAGCCCCGGCUAACUACGUGCCAGCAGCCGCGGUAAUACGUAGGAAGCAAGCGUUAUCCGGAUUUAUUGGGUGUAAAGGGUGCGUAGACGGGAAAACAAGUUAGUUGUGAAAUCCCUCGGCUUAACUGAGGAACUGCAACUAAAACUAUUUUUCUUGAGUGCUGGAGAGGAAAGUGGAAUUCCUAGUGUAGCGGUGAAAUGCGUAGAUAUUAGGAGGAACACCAGUGGCGAAGGCGACUUUCUGGACAGUAACUGACGUUGAGGCACGAAAGUGUGGGGAGCAAACAGGAUUAGAUACCCUGGUA